CCUACGGGUGGCAGCAGUGGGGAAUAUUGCACAAUGGGGGAAACCCUGAUGCAGCAACGCCGCGUGAGUGAUGACGGUCUUCGGAUUGUAAAGCUCUGUCUUCAGGGACGAUAAUGACGGUACCUGAGGAGGAAGCCACGGCUAACUACGUGCCAGCAGCCGCGGUAAUACGGAGGGUGCGAGCGUUGUCCGGAUUUACUGGGCGUAAAGGGAGCGUAGGCGGGCUUGUAAGUGAGAUGUGAAAUACUCGGGCUCAACUUUAGUGCUGCAUUUGAAACUGGAAGUCUAGAGUAAAGGAGAGGAGAAUGGAAUUCCUAGUGUAGCGGUGAAAUGCGUAGAGAUUAGGAAGAAAACCAGUGGCGAAGGCGAUUCUCUGGACUGUAACUGACGCUGAGGCUCGAAAGCGUGGGGAGCAAACAGGAUUAGAUACCCUUGUAGUC
rnacentral:rRNA from 1 species